AUGUCGCCUUAUUUGUUUGUUUUGGCCAUUAAUGAGCUCUCCAUUAUGCUCAAUGAAGCUUUGAGGGCCAAUCAUUUACAAGGUAUUUCACUUAGACCAAAUUGCCCUUCUGUGCAUUUUUUGUUGUUUGCAGACGAUCUCCUUGUGUGUGGACAGGCCACUUGUCAGGAAGCUCAGGCUAUGGCCAACCUCAUUCAUCAUUUCUGUGCUAGCUCUGGUCAAACACCCAAUUGGAACAAAUCUGCUAUUCUUUUCAGUUCCCAUGUUCCCCAACAGGUUAUGGAUGACAUUAAAAUCAUUUUUCCAGUGGCUACCCUUGAUAAUAACUUUACUCACCUUGGUCAUCCUCUCAUCCUUCCUGCUAAUAAUAGAGCAACUGCUUACAACUUUGUCUUGGGAAAUUUUUUAAAUAAGUUGCCCUCUUAUAAAGCUAACAUGCUCUCUCAUGCUGCUAGAUUAGAAUUAAUUCACGUUGUCUUUUCGGCCAUUCCUGUUUAUUAUAUGUCCAAUAUUCUUUUUCCUAAAAAAUUCAUUGCAAAACUUACUGCAGUAAUUAGGAACUUCUGGUGGACAGGUAUUAGAGAAACAGAUUCCAGGAAAAGCCUUUGUCUUCGAGCUUGGAAGGACAUUUCCAAUUCCAAAUCAGAAGGAGGGUUAGGUAUAAGAAACUUGAAGGCAAUCAAUGAGAGUCUCAUUCUGGCUGCAGCCUGGAGGUUAGUAAAUAAUCCAUCUUCACAUUUAUACUCUGUUCUCUGA
rnacentral:rRNA from 1 species